rnacentral:lncRNA from 1 species
AGUAUACCAAACAUUAAGAACACCUUCCUACUGUUUACUGUAAAAAAAAAAACAGCAGCGUUGCAGUUCUUGACACAAACCUGGCACCUACUUCCACACCCUGUUCAAAGGCACCCAAAUGAUUUGUCCUGCCCAUUCACCCUCUGAAUGGCACAAAUACACAAUCGAUGCCUCAAGUCUUAAAAACCCUUCUUUAACCCGUCUCCUCCCCUUCAUCUACACUGAUUGAAGUGGAUUUAACAAGUGACAUCAAUAAGGGAUUCAUAGCUUUCACCUGGAUUCACCUGGUCAGUCUAUGUCAGUGGAAAUAGCAGGUGUUCUUAAUGUUUUGUAGACUCUGUGUGUAUGUUAUAUACAGAUGGUAAUAUGUUUAAUAACCAUAGUUUAGGUUCUGUUUUAUGCAAAUUACAUCUAGUUUGUUUUGUAUUUUUAUUUAUGUAUGUAAAUAGAAAUUGUACAUAACUCGAUAUAGCGUAAUAUUCUGAAACAACAUUUAUUAACACAUAUUUUAGAGCUAUUUAUCUUAUAAUAUGUAAAAGCAUUGCAUAUAUUUUGGCCUUAAUUCGUUUUUGAUUUUUAAAAAAAUGAAAUAUAUAUAGUGUCUAAUUUUACUCUUUUAAAUGUACUUGACUCGGGGGCAUAACGUGUGUGUGUGUGUGUGUGUGUGUGUGGUUUGUGUUUGGAGAAAUACAGUCUGUUUGUCCUUAUCAUGCCAAAACAAUGUUUGGGUAUGACACAAAAAUACAAGAGUGGAAUGUUAAGCACCAAAACAGGUUCUGGAUUUCAGGUUUAUGGGACUGGGGAACAGGGUGCUGUUGGGAUGGGGAACAGGGUGCUGUUUGGACUGGGGUACAGGGUGCAGUUUGGGACUGAGGAACAGGGUGCUGUUUGGGAAUGGGGAACAGGGUGCUGUUUGGGACUGGGGAACAGGGUGCUGUUUGGGAAUGGGGUACAGGUGCGUUUAGAAGUGAUUGGCUGAGCGAAAAGUAAACCAAAUUAUGAUUGGUAAUUUUUUUGACACGAUUCAGUAUUUUGUCUAUGAUAUGUUUUGUUGUAGAAUACAGCAAAGGGUUCCGCUGUCUGGUUACCUGCCUGUCUGGUAACCUGCCUGUCUGGUUACCUACCUGUCUGGUUACCACCUGUCUGGUUACCUGCUCGUUCGGUUACUGCCUGUCUGGUUACCUACCUGUCUGGACCUGUCUGUCUGGUUAACUGUGUUGGUUACCUGCCUGUCUGGUUACUGCCUGUUGGUUUACCUGCCUGUCUGGUUACUGCCUGUCUGGUUACCUGUGUCUGUGACUGCCUGUUGGUGACCUGCCUGUCUGGUGACCUGCCUGUCUGGUUACCUGCCUUGUCUGGUACCCUGCCUGUAUGCGUUACCUGCCUGCUGGUACCUGCCUGUGGUUACCUACGUCUGGUUACUACUGUCUGGUACUGCCUGUCUGUGACCUGCCUGUCUGGUUACCUGCCUGUCUGGUUACUGCUGGUUACCUGCCUGUCUGGUGCCUGUGUCUGGUGACCUCUGUUGGUUACUGGAUGUCUGGUUACUGCCCGUCUGGUUACACCUGGACCUGUCUGGUUACCUGCCUGGUCUGGUUACCAUGCCUGUCUGGUGACCCGCCUGUUCGGUGACCCGCCUGUUCUGGUUACCUGGAGUACUGGUGACUACGUAUGGUUACCUGGAUCUGGUUACCUGCUUCUGAUUUU